rnacentral:lncRNA from 1 species
GUUUUCUGCUUCAUACUUCAUACUACAUAUACGGAGUAGCAUGCAUACAAUACACAGUACUACUACGUAUGGAUCGCGAUGGAGUUAUGGACCCAAAUUCAGGGUUGCCGAAAAACGGGGCUUAGUUCAUUUCGCUUUGCAUUGGCAGUUCUCAGUUUUCCAAUGAUCUGACCAGCCAAGUCCAGCAGCCAAGCUAAUAGUAAAAGAAAAAAGAAAGCUGCUUGCUGAUGCCGAUUUGAUGGACACUCUGUAUACAUAACUGCACAGCCUGGUGUGUCCAAUUGUACAUAUUACUACAUAACUGAAUUGCGUGUAAAAUGUAUCUUCAAAUAACAUACGUAAUGACUUGUAAUUAUGAACGAGAGCAGUGUGUAUAGUCUUGCCGUUUUGGGUAAUAUUGGAAGAUGUGGGGGCGUACUGUAACCAACGUAUUUGUAAUUGUACGUUACGCGGAACAGAUUUCGACAUACGUAUUCUCGUAUCGAUCGUUUAGCUAUUUGGAACAAAUACGAAGCUAUUGAUCUGAUACAGAUACGCGCUGCACGCUCUGUUUUAGUUUUUACGUACAUCUCUUUGAUUGCGAUUGAUUACGAUAAUAUCUA